rnacentral:lncRNA from 10 species
AGUCAGGACCGCCUGCACCGCAGUCCGGGGAUCGGGUCGAGGGGAGAAGAAAAAGGGGUGCUCGGGAGCAGCCCCCGGCUACCUCCCCUGGAGGCACAGAGGGCGGGGGCCUUGGCGAAUGGCUUUCUUGCUGGCCACUUGCGGAGUGAGUAGACCCCGAGGGUCUGGGAGAGGGGCCGGCCCCUACCCCUGAGUCCCCGGGGUCCCGGCCGCCAGGCCGGAGCGCGAAUGUCGUGCUCACCCUGCCUCCUUCCCGCCGCCCCCUGGGGGUUUGGAUUCAGGAUUUGUUCCUAGUGUCCAAGAUUUUGAUAAGAAACUUACAGAAGCUGAUGCUUACCUACAAAUCUUGAUUGAACAAUUAAAGCUUUUUGAUGACAAGCUUCAAAACUGCAAAGAAGAUGAACAGAGAAAGAAAAUUGAAACUCUCAAAGAGACAACAAAUAGAUGGGAUUCUGCUAUGUUGCCUAGGCUGGUCUCCUAGCCUCAAGCGAUCCUCCUUCCUUGGCCUACCAAAGCAGUGGGAUUACAGAGCAUGGUAGAAUCAAUUAAACACUGCAUUGUGUUGCUGCAGAUUGCCAAAGACCAGAGUAAUGCGGAGAAGCACGCAGAUGGAAUGAUAGUAAGUUUAAU